rnacentral:lncRNA from 1 species
UUGUCUACCUCUCUUCAGCGUUGGUCUCUGGUUUCCAGAGGUGGAGUCCAGAGGAUAGCAGAGAACCUAUGUGCCUAAUUUUCUAAAGGUGGACGGAUUUAUCUUUCCUCCUGGAAAAUAUUUAGAAGAGAGAACCCAAAGAAACUCCUUUUCUUCUGCCAACAAUAGAAAGAGCCUGAAAAUAAAGGCUUUCCUUGAUGCGAUUAUCUCUCAUAACUCCUCACCGGGCAUCUCGCUUUUUUUCUUUUUUAUUGCAUUUCCUUCCUACUCUCAGUCCCUUAUCUCUGCCUCGCCCGCUUUAUCUGCUCCUUGAUGUCUCUGCCUCACUUUAUUUCCUCCCUUGCUGUGGCUGCAGAGAGACAGAGGACUGGGAUGAGGAGGAGAAGGAGGUCAGAGAGUAAGAGAAAGAGAGAGAGAGGACGAUGUGAUCGGUGAUUGGGUGUGGAUGUGGGUGUAGAGGAUAUGGACAAAGAGAAAGGUCGAGACUUGAAGCGAUGCGGCAGCGUCGGGGGGUCGGUCUUCGCCCGCGAAGCGCCAGCAGAGAGCGUUAUCUGGACGGAUCAGUAGCAGCACCAAGCCCAUCUCGCACCCAUCCUCCUCCCCCUCUG